UACGUAGGGGGCAAGCGUUGUCCGGAAUUAUUGGGCGUAAAGAGCGCGUAGGCGGUCCGGUAAGUCGGCUGUGAAAGUCAAGGGCUCAACCCUUGAAAGCCGGCCGAUACUGCCGGACUAGAGUCCGGAAGAGGCGAGUGGAAUUCCCGGUGUAGCGGUGAAAUGCGCAGAUAUCGGGAGGAACACCAAUGGCGAAGGCAGCUCGCUGGGACGGUACUGACGCUGAGACGCGAAAGCGUGGGGAGCGAACAGG
rnacentral:rRNA from 1 species